rnacentral:tRNA from 1 species
GACUUUGUAGCGCAAUGGUAGCGCGUCUGACUCCAGAUCAGAAGGUUGCGUGUUCGAAUCACGUCAGGGUUA